rnacentral:lncRNA from 1 species
AUCAUUGACAUCUGUGAACGACGGUAACAGACAGAAACGUGAUCGUUAGGGUAUUGCAUCACCAAAACCCAAGACUAACACCUCCAGUGAUUGGUCGAAAUAUCUUACAAAUGGAAGCCAAAAUAUGCAUAGAUGUAAGUACAGGCCUCUCUGCACCAACGACGAUCGGGGCUCUUUAACAGUUUUAGGAAGUUUGAACUGUUGGAGAAAAAAGGCUCACGAUGAUGCUGAAGCAAAUAGUUCUUCUUCUUGUCCUCGUAAUCACCACGGCAACAGCCUUCUACUGGCCGAGGUUCAACUUUGUCAGGAGCUUUGGGAGAGGUAUACGCGGUGGACAGUACAAUCGUCUUAAUCCCUGGCUGUUUAGGGCGAUGGACGAUGCCUCUGAAAUAGGACCCGACUUCUGAUUUGAUAGAGAUAAUGUUUCUGCAUUGCUGCACCAUGCAAGGCCUCUCUGAAAUGCACAUGAGUUGUGUACAUCAUGUCAUUGACCAAAUACUGAUUUACUGGUUGCAGGAUAUGAAUGAGCAAACUAAUGAUGUUUAAAUCCGUGCAUGAGAACUCUGUGAUAUUCCUGAUAUUAAAGUGUACAACAUUUCUAUUUAUGAUUCAUCAUUAGCAAUGUAAACCUUUAGUUUUGGUCAAGGGAUGGGUCUAGGGAUUAUAAUUAGUGACCCGUGUGAAUGUUUGAGUAAAGUUGCAUCCGAUAUAUGUAAAUAAAUUCGGUCAGUACAACUCACAACAUCACAGUAUAACUCACAAAAUGACAGUAUAAUUAAAAAAAUCACAAUAUAGCUGUCCGUAGAGACCGUAGGCCCAAAGUCGGCAACCAAAAUGCAAUAUUUACAUUAUAUAACCUCCGAAACAUUUUGAAAAUUAUUUACCUGUGGAUAUUGUGCUACUGCUUCUAUCUAAUGUUUGAAAUAAUUUAUUUCUUGGCUUCCCAUAGGUUAUAAUAAACAAUUACUGGGCGAGGGUUGAAGUUCAUGGUCAGAAGAGUUAUGAUGUCACAGAAAACUAGUAACAUGUCUUUGACAUUACGAUUCCAUACUGAAAUUGUCUGUCUAACCUUGCUUCUGCAAAUGUACACAUAAUCUUGUAACUGUAGGUUUGACGUAACAUUUAAUAAGAAAUGUCAUAUGUCUUGUAAAAAAAUCAGCUAGUAUAUAUGUCAUUGAAUAUUGGUUUUGUUUAUGAAACAAGGGCGUCAACUAGAGCUCUACUUGGUUUUCACGAUCACGUGCGCUUUAAGGAAACCCUUCAGUCUGGACACAAUUCAAUUGUCUCUUGUCUGCAAGCCUAUGGUCACUUCUCUACAGAAAUAGCUACAAUAUGCCGUGUCACUUCUUAAUGGUACACCUAUCCCCUACUGGGCACUUCCAAGCGCUUGUAACGCUUACUGUGACAGAAACCUCUACGGGAACGACGAAAUGAACAUUGUGGUUUUCCAAUAUGUUUUCCAAUAUGUGUUGAAGAAGUGUUACCCCCGACGAGAAUUCAAACUUGAUGGACAUCUAGUAAUUCAUUUUGUACUUAUUGCAUGGGAGGAAAAAAAUACAAUUCGUCGACGUCAAUGCGUAUUAAAGUCAUAAUUUAAUUA